rnacentral:tRNA from 1 species
UGGGUUGUGGUUCAGUGGUAGAGCGCUCGCCUCGCAAGCAGGACCCCUGGGUUCGAUCCUCAGCACCAG